UACGUAGGGUGCGAGCGUUGUCCGGAAUUACUGGGCGUAAAGAGCUCGUAGGUGGUUUGUCGCGUUGUCCGUGAAAACUCACAACUCAAUUGUGGGCGUGCGGGCGAUACGGGCAGACUGGAGUACUGCAGGGGGAGACUGGAAUUCCUGGUGUAGCGGUGGGAAUGCGCAGAUAUCAGGAGGAACACCGGUGGCGAAGGCGGGUCUCUGGGCAGUAACUGACGCUGAGGAGCGAAAGCGUGGGGAGCAAACAGG
rnacentral:rRNA from 1 species